GCGCAGCCUGGGCUCGUACAGGCAGCUACACUGGGCGAUUCGCCGAGUGAAUUGUUCGCGGAGCAUUGGUCUCUGCGAGCGAGUCCUUUGAAUUCGCGGAGCAUUGUGCCCCGCUGAGAAUUCCGAAACGUGCAGAGCAUUGGCCUCUGCUAGGAGUCCUCAGUUCACGGAGCAUUGGUCUCUGCAGAGGAUUCCUCAACGUGCAGAGCAUUGGCCUCUGGAAAAGAGCGUGAAUUUCCUUUGAAGAGUUCCAUUGUUGCUCCUUCGAGUUUUGCUGAGGCCUUGUCGUUCCUCUGUGACAUCCUCUCUUCAGAAUGGCUUCUGGAUUCCCAAAAAAGACACCAACACCUCGUCUUUUGCUGAGGGAAAGACUGCAGCCUAACACUUUGCCUCCGUCUAAGUUCCAGCAGGAGAAGUUUGUCAGCAUGAAGAAGGAGGCCAGCACUGGGGGGAGGAUUCUGCCCAGAAUUGGCCCAUGGAUAGACCUGAGCAAGACUGGUCCAAAGCUGCCGUCAGCUGCCCCGAAACAGAGCUUGUUUCAGGUUUCCCCACCAGAGAUGGUGUUUGAGAACUUCGUGGCUCGGGAGGUCUCUGAAAUGGUGCUGUCUGUGACAAAUAAGGAC